GAUGAACGCUAGCGAUAGGCUUAACACAUGCAAGUCGAGGGGCAGCAUGGUCUUAGCUUGCUAAGACUGAUGGCGACCGGCGCACGGGUGCGUAACGCGUAUGCAACUUGCCUCACAGAGGGGGAUAACCCGUCGAAAGACGGACUAAUACCGCGUACACUUGGGAUAGGGCAUCCUGACCCAAGGAAAUGAAAUUCGCUGUGAGAUAGGCAUGCGUCCCAUUAGCUAGUUGGUGAGGUAACGGCUCACCAAGGCGACGAUGGGUAGGGGAACUGAGAGGUUGAACCCCCACACUGGUACUGAGACACGGACCAGACUUCUACGGGAGGCAGCAGUGAGGAAUAUUGGUCAAUGGGCGAGAGCCUGAACCAGCCAAGUCGCGUGAAGGAUGACUGUCUUAUGGAUUGUAAACUUCUUUUAUACGGGAAUAACAAGAGCCACGUGUGGCUCCCUGCAUGUACCGUAUGAAUAAGCAUCGGCUAACUCCGUG
rnacentral:rRNA from 1 species